rnacentral:rRNA from 1 species
CCAGACUCCUACGGGAGGCAGCAGUGGGGGAUAUUGCACAAUGGGGGGAACCCUGAUGCAGCGACGCCGCGUGGGUGAAGAAGUAUUUCGGUAUGUAAAGCCCUAUCAGCAGGGAAGAAGAAUGACGGUACCUGACUAAGAAGCUCCGGCUAAAUACGUGCCAGCAGCCGCGGUAAUACGUAUGGAGCAAGCGUUAUCCGGAAUUACUGGGUGUAAAGGGAGCGUAGGCGGCAAGGCAAGUCUGAUGUGAAAACCCGGGGCUCAACCCCGGGACUGCAUUGGAAACUGUCAGGCUAGAGUGUCGGAGAGGCAAGUGGAAUUCCUAGUGUAGCGGUGAAAUGCGUAGAUAUUAGGAGGAACACCAGUGGCGAAGGCGGCUUGCUGGACGAUGACUGACGUUGAGGCUCGAAAGCGUGGGGAGCAAACAGGAUUAGAUACCCCCGCA